rnacentral:rRNA from 1 species
GACGAACGCUGGCGGCGUGCCUAAUACAUGCAAGUCGAGCGAAGCGGCGGACGGGUGAGUAACACGUAAGGAACCUACCGAUAAGCGGGGGACAACAUCCGGAAACGGGUGCUAAUACCGCCUACUUAUCGAUGGCCUGGCGGUGGAUUAGCUCGUGGGUGGGGUAACGGCCUACCAAGGCAAUGACCCAUAGCCGACCUGAGAGGGUAAGCAGCCAAAAUGGAACUGAGACACGGCCCAAACUCCUACGUGAGGCAGCAGUAGGGAAGCUUGCGCAAUGGGCGCAAGCCUGACGGAGCAACGCCGCGUGAGUGAAGAAGGUUUUCGGAUCGUAAAGCUCUGUUGUAGGAGAAGCGGUAUCUGACCAGAAAGCAACGGCUAACUACGUGCCAGCAGCCGCGGUAAUUC